rnacentral:rRNA from 1 species
GCUGGCGGCGUGCUUAACACAUGCAAGUGGAGCGACGAACCGGGCUUCGGCCCGGGGYAAAGCCGCGAACGGGUGAGUAUCACGUGGGUAACCUGCCCCGAUGACCGGGAUAACCCGAGGAAACUCGGGCUAAUACCGGAUGUGCUCUCCAUCCAUCAGGGUGAAGAGCAAAGGAAGCUUCGGCCUCCGCAUUGGGAUGGGCCCGCGGCCCAUUAGCUUGUUGGUGAGGUAAAGGCUCACCAAGGCGACGAUGGGUAGCUGGUCUGAGAGGACGAUCAGCCACACUGGGACUGAGACACGGCCCAGGCUCCUACGGGAGGCAGCAGUGGGGAAUCUUGCGCAAUGCGCGAAAGCGUGACGCAGCAACGCCGCGUGAGGGAAGAAGGCCUUCGGGUUGUAAACCUCUUUCAGGAGGGACGAAGGUUCAGGCGCGAAUAGCGACCUGGACUGACGGUACCUCCAGAAGAAGCCCCGGCUAACUACGUGCCAGCAGCCGCGGUAAUACGUAGGGGGCUAGCGUUGUCCGGAAUCAUUGGGCGUAAAGCGCGCGUAGGCGGCCCGGUAAGUCCGCUGUAAAAGUCAAAGGCUUGACCUUUGAAUGUCAGUGGAUACUGUCGGGCUAGAGUCCGGAAGAG